rnacentral:rRNA from 1 species
GCAAGUCGAACGGUAUGGACCUUCGGGGUUCAGAGAGUGGCGAACGGGUGAGUAACACGUAGGUUAUCUACCCUCAAAACGGGGACAACCCAGGGAAACUUGGGCUAAUACCGGAUGUGUGCAGAGCUUGUUUUGCUGUUUGAGAUAAUCACGGAAGUGGUUAUUGAGGGCAAGUGAGAGCGGGUUUUGCAUAAAAGGUGGCGUAAGCUGCCGUUUGAGGAUGAGCCUGCGCUCUAUUAGUUAGUUGGCGGGGUAAAGGCCCACCAAGGCGAUGAUAGAUAGGCGGCCUUAACGGGUGGUCGCCCACACUGGGAUUGAGAUACGGCCCAGACUCCUACGGGAGGCAGCAGUCGAGAAUAGUCUACAAUGGCCGAAAGGCUGAUAGUGCGACGCCGCGUGAACGAAGAAGCCCUUCGGGGUGUAAAGUUCUUUUAUAUGUGAGCAGUGCUUUCUAUGUGAACAGCAUGGGGAGAGAGAUAUUAGCAUAUGAAUAGGCAACGGCUAACUCCGUG